GACGUAGGGCGCGAGCGUUGUCCGGAUUUAUUGGGCGUAAAGAGCUCGUAGGCGGCUUGUCGCGUCGACCGUGAAAACUUGGGGCUUAACCCUAAGCCUGCGGUCGAUACGGGCAGGCUAGAGUUCGGUAGGGGAGACUGGAAUUCCUGGUGUAGCGGUGAAAUGCGCAGAUAUCAGGAGGAACACCGGUGGCGAAGGCGGGUCUCUGGGCCGAUACUGACGCUGAGGAGCGAAAGCGUGGGGAGCGAACAGG
rnacentral:rRNA from 1 species